AACUACUUCAGCAGCCGCAAAUGCUCGAGCAACUCAGUUUAGUUGGAGCAUUCGUGGUGUGAGGGUCGACGAAGUCAAUUCGAAGUGAUCGUGAAUGAACAACGAAGGAAAAGUUGAAAGAUAAUCUUGAAAGGACUUUGAAUAUAUUACUGCCCUCUAUAAACCGGGGGACAUAUCAUGGAAGCUUUAAAGGAAGAUUGACAGCAGAAGCUAAAGCAGAGACGUGUAUAGAUACGUCCCUAAAGCAAAGAGAGUAAGAGAAGUGAAACAUGGUGGCGAAAAGCCAGUGUGUUUACACAGCAAAUAGUCUUCACUGACAGCUGGGCCCGGGCGGGGAGGUGACACACCACCCUCAACACUAUGCAGGUGGUGGAGAGGAGCAGAGACCCCGCGAGCAGCCGCGGCUGGUGGAGACACACCCACAACACCCGCUACACAACCUGCAGCUACUACACUUGUGUCCGCACUCAUCCCAUGGUGUAUUUAGUCACCUUUCUAGUGGCAUAGAUUAUUGAGCUUAAAUAUAUUUGUUAAUGUCUCGUCCUCGCAAUACAACACUCUUAAGUCAGUCAUGGACACAAAAUAAUUAAAUUUUGGCCUAAUUUCAAGAGUUUUCCAUUUACAGUGUGCAUGUAAAAGUUACAUUUGACACGUGACUGAAUUUGGUAAAUAUAAGUUAGUUUUGUGUUGGAAGUAGUUUCACGGACGUAUUACCACGCUUAAUAUACAUAUGUUUUCUGCAUCAGGUGAUGAGGCUUCUAUCAAAAGUGCGCAUGGACCAGACUCUCUCACCAGGAGCCAUAGCCUCGUCAGGAAUUAUCCUUAUCGUAUCUUUAUAUACAUGUUUGCAACUAUGUGUUCUGCGUCUAUCACUCCAGAUUAUCUCUGCUGUGUUACUCACAAAAUAUGGAGUGCCAAUUGCUUCAGUUGCAACAGCUGCAAAUUUUGAACGCCGCGGUUCCUACGGCGUUCUGGCAGGAGUAUGUGCUUUGUUGCGUUCAUAGCAGGAGAAUAUGCCCUACGGUUCGUAACAAUGGUAUAUACACUGUGGCGUUCAUAACAGGAAUAUAUAUGCUGUGCUGUUCGUAACACGAAUACUGUGUGAUGUUCGUUAUCGGUGUCAAGGUUUGCCCAAUGUAUCGCAUAUUUAGGCAAUGGGAUAUACGCACAUAACUUGAGCUCCAAUGAAAUAUUCAGAAGAGCAAAAACUGUGCACACCUAGUUGUGUGUGUGAGUUUGGGUGAGGAAGGUGUGUGUGUGUGUGUGUGUGUGUGUGUGUGUGUGUGUGUGUGUGUGUGUGUGUGUGUGUGUGUGUGUGUGUGUGUGAGAGUGGGUUGUGUGUGUUAACUACAAACCGCAAUAAUGCCUAAAUAUUCAACUCAAGUGAAGCCUUUUUCCAAAAUAAAUGUCCUUGCUAAUAUCCUGUGCCCCGGGAGACUAUUAUAACUCGUCACAUUAAUUACUUCACCUGCACUUAAAUUAUGCACUCCAAAUUUGGCCAAGAUUCAGCCAUCGCAGAACUUAAGUCAAAUGAACCAUGAAAGGUAAUAACAAAUUAGCACUGCACCUUAAUUCCAAUAUAGUUUUGGCGAGGAAAAUUUACCUAUCAUAUAGUUUUAUAAAUUCAUUUUACUCCUAUGACUUGGAGAACAAAUAUUUAAGAUGAAAACAAUCGGAAUAAACAAGAAACAGCUGUGUCAACGUAUCUUUCCAGCAGGUUUCUUUCGACUAAAUUUAAGCAACUAAGAGAUGAUAAUGUUUGUGUGAGGAUUGCAUCUGGGCUUAGCCUUGCGGCCUCCCAGGUGGCAAGGCGCCAGUCAGCCCUCGGGGAGGCUCGCCACCUGGCUCCCGGGACUCACCAACGGGCGGGAGGUGUGUGAGUUGUGGCGCUGAAGUGCAGAUGUGCGGCUUUGUCACUCAACAGCCACACAGAUGGACAGUGUAGGUGGGCUCGACUGUGUCAGAGGGUAGGUUGUGCGCGUGACUCUGGCAGAGGAUGUUUAUACAAGGAUGGGAGUGUGAGAGAGAGAGAGAGAGAG